CCUACGGGAGGCAGCAGUGAGGAAUAUUGGUCAAUGGACGAGAGUCUGAACCAGCCAAGUAGCGUGAAGGAUGACUGCCCUAUGGGUUGUAAACUUCUUUUAUAUGGGAAUAAACUGUUCCACGUGUGGGAUUUUGUAUGUACCAUAUGAAUAAGGAUCGGCUAACUCCGUGCCAGCAGCCGCGGUAAUACGGAGGAUCCGAGCGUUAUCCGGAUUUAUUGGGUUUAAAGGGAGCGUAGGUGGAUUGUUAAGUCAGUUGUGAAAGUUUGCGGCUCAACCGUAAAAUUGCAGUUGAAACUGGCAGUCGUGAGUACAGUAGAGGUGGGCGGAAUGCGUGGGGUAGCGGUGAAAUGCUUAGAUAUCACGAAGAACUCCGAUUGCGAAGGCAGCUCACUGGACUGCAACUGACACUGAGGCUCGAAAGUGUGGGUAUCAAACAGGAUUAGAUACCCUUGUAGUC
rnacentral:rRNA from 1 species